GGCUCAGUUGGUAGAGCAUGGUGUUUGCAACGCCAGGGUUGUGGGUUUGAUUCCCAU
rnacentral:tRNA from 1 species